rnacentral:rRNA from 1 species
CAUUACAGCAGUUCAUGCCCUUACGGGUAGAUCUCCCACCCUUAUGUUAUCAUCACUUUGUUGCUUUGGCGGGCCGUUAGGCUCACGCCCGACCACCGGCUCCGGCUGGUGAGCGCCCGCCAGAGGACCCAAAACCCUGAUUAUUAGUGUCGUCUGAGUACUAUAUAAUAGUUAAAACUUUCAACAACGGAUCUCUUGGUUCUGGCAUCGAUGAAGAACGCAGCGAAAUGCGAUAAGUAAUGUGAAUUGCAGAAUUCAGUGAAUCAUCGAAUCUUUGAACGCACAUUGCGCCCCUUGGUAUUCCGAGGGGCAUGCCUGUUCGAGCGUCAUUACAACCCUCAAGCCUGGCUUGGUAUUGGGCUCCGCCACUCACCUGGCGGGCCUUAAAAUCAGUGGCGGUGCCGUCGAGGCCCUGAGCGCAGUAAAUGUCCUCGCUAUAGGGACCCGGCGGACGCUGGCCAUCAACCCCCAACUUUCUAAGUUUGACCUCGGAUCAGGUAGGGAUACCC